GGGGGCGUAAUGGUUUCGACGGGGAUCAUGUGCGUAAAAGAAGCGAGCCGAGGACCCGAUCCUCGUUAAAAGCGGGAAAAGUAUAACUGCGAAUAGAAAUUACUCGGCUCUGCCGGUAGCGGCUUAAUGCCGCCGUCGACCUCAAAGCGCUCACGGCUUUGAGUGUUCGGCGUCAGUGAUGUGAGGAACAGACCCGCUUAAGCUUUGCGGCGCGGUCGGUAUUAUGAAGCUACCUGACAACUAACCCUGCCCACGGGGGUAGUUGAAGGGGAAAUUUAAAUCGUGGGCUGCGCUCGGAGAUGCUUUUACGUUCGGGUUUUCGGACGGGGGUUCGAUUCCCCCCGCCUCCACCA
rnacentral:tmRNA from 1 species